ACGCCAUUGGUCCAACGGCAGGGCGACGGUCUCCAAAACCGCAGACGGGGGUUCGACUCCUCCAUGGCGUGCCA
rnacentral:tRNA from 1 species